CGUGAGUGGCACACGUAGGGCAAC
rnacentral:piRNA from 1 species